CACAUAUCAUCCCGUCUAUAAAAGAGAGAACACCGCGCACAUACAAUUGAAGAAGAGGAAGAACCGAACAGCACCGGAACAAAGGAAGAAGGCCGGCGUGCGCAGACGACCCAGUUUAUUACCCGUCGAGAUGGGAAUUUGGUUGUACAAUGUUAUAAAUCUCUCAAGGAGCGGUGUGAUGUUAGAGAAAUCACUAAGAAUUCGACAUAUAAACACGAUCACUGACACAGUUGAUACCGUCACCGGAUACCAGAACGAUGCUUGGAUUUUCUACCAUGAUGGAGGGAGGACUCGUGUGAUCGUGUACGAUAAUGGCAACUGGGGAUUGGUGAUUCAGCUUAGGCGUGAUGGUACUGAAGACUUAACUAGAACGUGGAGUAUAAAUAACAAUUGUACACGCUAUAAUUUUGUUUUUGAGCCGACUAAAAUUUGGUUUUACUCUUCGGAUUAUCCAUUGUCGUUGGACGGCGUGCAGCACCAAGCAUGGGUUAUUCAAAUUCAAAGGAAUUGGAGAUGGGAGGCGUACAAUGUGAAUACCACUAGAUUUUUAAAAGAGUGAUGGUUUAUAUAUUUUCUAAAUCUUGUUCAAUUAAUAGGCUUUAUGCUUGUAAUAAUGUAUCCUGUAGUUGGUGAACUAUGAAAAAAAUUUGAAGUAAUAAAAUGCAAUUUUUAUUGCAAGUUUCCUUCA